rnacentral:other from 1 species
CUAGUGAUCUUCACUGGGUGGCAGAUGGCGUGCCAUAACUCUAUUAGUGGGAUACCACGCUCGUGGAUCUUAUGCCCACACAGCCAUCCUCUAGUAAGUUUGCAAGGUGUCUGAUGAGGCGUGGGAACUUAUUGGAAAUAAUUACUUGCUGCGAAGCAUCCUACUGCCAGCGGAUCAACACCUGGUAACAGGUGCCCCUGGGGCCAAAAGCCACGGUUUAACAGACCCUUUAGGAUUGGUUAAAACCUGAGUAAUUAUGGAAGAUACUUAGUACCUACCAACUUGGUAACAGUGCAAACACUAGUUGUAAGGCCCACGAAGGAUGCCCAGAAGGUACCCGCAGGUAACAAGAGACACUGUGGAUCUGAUCUGGGGCCACCUACCUCUAUCCUGGUGAGGUGGUUAAAAAACGUCUAGUGGGCCAAACCCAGGGGGGAUCCCUGGUUUCCUUAUUUUAGUGUAAAUGU